rnacentral:rRNA from 1 species
CUAUAGGACAAGGUGCUUUGCCGUCUUCAACCUUGGAUCGCGGGUAUGAUCACCACCGUUGGCCGCCUCGUGCUCAUUAAAUCGGUCCUCACUUCCAUACCAGUCUACCACUCCAUCGCCAUGGAACUGCCGGCGUGGCUCAUACAGGGGUUUGAGAAGAGGAUCCGAGCCUUCUUCUGGAAGGGGACUGAUGUGGUGAGCGGCGGGCACUGCUUGAUUGCUUGGGACCAGGUAUGUCGGCCUGUCGAGUACGGCGGCCUUGGCAUCCUCGAUCUCAGGCUCUUGGGGUAUGCUUUCCGUGCUCGCUGGCUUUGGUUGCAGCGUACGUCUGUUGAGCCUGAAGUGCAGGAUGUUUUUGAUGCGUCUACCAACGUCGUUCUUGGGAACGGGCAUAAGGCCCUUUUUUGGUCUGAUCGUUGGCUGGAGGGCCAAUCCAUGAAGCUCACUGCACCAGACCUGUACGCCGCUGUUGACACCGCUGCCCGUGGCUCUCGUACGGUGGCUGAAGCCCUGACUAAUAGGCGUUGGAUCAGCGACAUAAAUGGGGCUCUAAGCGUACGGGUUAUCACGCAAUUCCUACUGCUUACAGGGCUUCAGUACGGUGGCUGA